UCGAUCUCAAAUCAGGUAGGACUACCCGCUGAACUUAAGC
rnacentral:rRNA from 1 species